rnacentral:tRNA from 1 species
GGGGCUGUGGGGUAGCCUGGUAUCCUUCGGGCUUUGGGAGCCUGCGACGGCCGUUCAAAUCGGCCCAGCCCCA